CCGGGCGGGUCGAGAGUUUGGUAUUAUUAGCUCUGGAAAGCCCUCCACCAAGCAACUAACAACCGGGUCUACUUACUGCUGGUAAACAAAGGGACUGGCGAAGCAGGAACUUUCUGCGGAGAGUUGAGAGUAAUGGGUGGAGCUCAAUACAUCUGGCACCUGGAAGAGAAGAUCAUAUAAAAAGAAAAGAAAAAGAAAAAAGCAGAAGGCAGGGAGAUUGAAAAC